CGGGAUUUCCCAGGCAAGAUUACUGGAGUGCGCUGCCAUUUCCUUCUCCAUGAGAUUACUAAGAAAGCGCAAUUAAGAUUUUGGAGAGGAAGAAGAAUGUUACUUAGCUCUGUGCCUAAGCCCCACUCCUGUGCCUGGCAGGGGACCCACAGCUCACAGCAGGACACAGAUGAGGAGAUGCUUCUUAUGGAUGAGCAAAGGAUGUGGUUUCUUGGGAUAGAAUCUACUUCUGGUGAAGAUGCUGAGAAGACUGUUGAAAUCACAAAAAAGCACUGAAGUCCUUCAUGGUGACACUGUUCCUCCUGACUAGCAAAGUCUUCACGAGACUGACGGAAACCUUCUGGAAAAUACGUGCUUGAUUGUCACCCUGCUUGGCUGAGCAUCCAAGGAUUCACCCGGAACGGAUGAACCCCUACUUUUGCAGUCUCAUCUAUCUCCCCCUUUCCACACAGCUCUGCUCCAGCCCACCAGACGUACUGCCUUCCCUGAACCAGCUGUGAACUUGGCUCGUUCUGUGGCUUCUGUCACUGCUCCUCCUUCACGAUCUGGUAACGCGAGCAGCUCCUGCUCUCACCCGGAUCAGACCUGGUCUCUGGUCUGUUGUGGAGCACAGCCCCUCCUCUCAUGGGCAUCCUUUCUGUGAGUUUGAGGCACCUGGCCUUCCUGUCCCGGAGCAGAGGAAGGCACGUGACCAGGACCAGCCAGAGGACGCUGGUCAGUGGCUGCCAACUGUGGCGAGGUCAGGGGUGUGUAUGGGCUCUGAACUUGGACAUCAGCACCUUCCCUGGAGCAUCAGAAAAGGGCACGUCUUCUCUCUAGGUCACUGUCAGCUGGUGA